ensembl:lncRNA
GUUUAAUACAUUUUGUGUAAAUGUCACAUACUUUCUGAGCGUGAACCAUCUUGCUUAAGAACACAAUGUUUACCAGAUUAUUUUUUUGGUCUCUUUUCCAGACUGUUCCCCUGAGUGUGGAUAAACACAGAGAGCUGAUGACGAGCGUCCUCGUCGACCAACGGCUGACUGAGCUACAGCUGAAGGGCGGGGCCUGGCUGGCAGGGCUGACCACAUCAGGACUUGCACAGCGAUCCCCAGACUGCAGGGCUGCGACCUCUAACCUCUAUGAUAGUGUGGACAACGCCCUCCACCGCCUCAUACAUGUGUCCAAUCACAGAGGCAGCGACCUGGAAGUCCUCGGUCGAUUGGCUGCCAUGGUGGACCAACUGGAAAAGCUGAGUUCAGGGAGGCAGUACGUGGCCGUGUUAACGGGUGUGGAGGAGACCUACCUGCCCCUCUUGGAGGGUCCAGACCUCCUUUUCCACAACUUGGCCAGCUUCAGCGCCUUCCACUCGCAGUACCUCCUCCCAGCCAUGGAGGGAGCUCUACUGCAGAGUCUGCUGAAACAGGACCUCUUCAGUAAACGUACACGCCCAGCACCACGGUGAGGACCUCCGGGCCAGCGACCUCAUCGUCGGGUGUCCGGUCCCGGUGGCGGAGCGUUGAGAGCUGGUGAGUCAGGUGUGUGGGAGGACCAGGAGGAAGAAGACCGGGGUGUGUUCCUCUAUCAACCCCUCAUCGUCUUCACCAAGCAGAAGAGCCUGGGACACACCGCCUACAGCUUCAAACACAGCACCAAGUGUCAGAGUGGAGAGGAGAGGGCAGCCUGGAC